CUACCAACGGGCAAGGCCCCUGGGCCCGAUGGCUUCACCACAGAAUUCCUCCGCUCUUGCUGGGAUACUAUCAAAGGAGACAUGUGCCAAGCCUUCGACAAGCUCUUCACGAUGAACGGUUGUGGCUUUCAGAAGCUCAACCAAGCCCUCAUUACACUGUUACCCAAGCGAUCUGACGCGGCUACCUUGGCUGACUAUCACUCGAUCAGCCUUAUCCACCUCCUAGCCAAGCUCUUCGCCAAAGUCCUGUCUUUACGGCUGGCUCCGAGGAUGGGAAUGCUGGUUUCUUCAAACCUGAGCGCUUUCAUCGCAGGGCGAGGCGUCCACGACAACUACCUACUUGUGCAACAAACCGCUCGGCUCCUGCACAACCUGAAAGCCCCAAGCGCACUGUUGAAACUAGACAUUGCCUGCGCUUUUGACACUGUGGCCUGGCCCUUCUUGCUGGAGACGCUCAACCACCUGGGCUUUGGUACUCGGUGGUGUGCCUAGAUUUCCAUCCUCAUCUCGAUGGCUACUACUCGUGUCCUUAUCAACGGGAAUUCCGAGCCUCCCAUUCUUCACAGCUGCCGCCAGCGCCAGGGGGACCCCAUUUCCCCGAUGCUGUUUGCAAUUGUCAUCGACAACCUGAACUCCCUCCUGCAGCACACUGCUUAG
rnacentral:rRNA from 1 species